CAUACCAUUUGCAAAAGCAGAGAACCAAGGGUAUUCAACUUGGGGUAUGUCCAGUCUGUUUUAGUAGAAACUUAUUCACAAACACUGGUCAAAAUUAGCGUUCAUAUUUCUUUUUGUGUGAAAAAAGCAAAAACAAAUAUGAACGCUAACUUUGGCCAGUGUUUGUGACUAAGUGGCUACUAAAAAAGACUGGACAUAUCCCACUUGCAAUGCAUUGGGUUGUCUACUUUUGCAAAUGGUAUG